rnacentral:other from 1 species
GAAAUCCUGAAGCAUGCGAUGAAGCUUGUUUAAAUUCAACCGACAAAUGUUAUACGGGAGAUUGUGUUUAGUGGAUUAUAACAUGCCUACUUUGUUAGGACGUUAAAAACUACUAACAGAUCACCCACCUGGGAGUAUCUCGGGUAUGAAUUUAUACAGCUCAACGGUGUUUCGGGAUAUUU